rnacentral:tRNA from 3 species
ACGGGUGUAGCUCAGUCGGUAGAGCAUCGGUCUCCAAAACCGAGUGUCGGGAGUUCGAGUCUCUCCACCCGUG